GGCUCCAUAGCGUAGUAGUUAGUAUGUCAGCUUUACAAGCAGAAGGUCCUGGGUUUGCGCCCUGGUGGAGCCA
rnacentral:tRNA from 1 species